GACGAACGCUGGCGGCGUGCUUAACACAUGCAAGUCGAACGGAAAGGCCCUGCUUUUGUGGGGUGCUCGAGUGGCGAACGGGUGAGUAACACGUGAGUAACCUGCCCUUGACUUUGGGAUAACUUCAGGAAACUGGAGCUAAUACCGGAUAGGAGCUCCUGCUGCAUGGUGGGGGUUGGAAAGUUUCGGCGGUUGGGGAUGGACUCGCGGCUUAUCAGCUUGUUGGUGGGGUAGUGGCUUACCAAGGCUUUGACGGGUAGCCGGCCUGAGAGGGUGACCGGCCACAUUGGGACUGAGAUACGGCCCAGACUCCUACGGGAGGCAGCAGUGGGGAAUAUUGCACAAUGGGCGGAAGCCUGAUGCAGCAACGCCGCGUGCGGGAUGACGGCCUUCGGGUUGUAAACCGCUUUCGCCUGUGACGAAGCGUGAGUGGCGGUAAUGGGUAAAGAAGCACCGGCUAACUACGUG
rnacentral:rRNA from 1 species